ACGGUUGAGAAACAUUGAUGUAAAGGCGCUAACAUACUGAAACAUUGUAAAAUUAAAAUCUGGUAGGCAGGAAGGAAGGGUGGGCUUUUUCAGUGUGUAUCUGAUAUUUUGCCAGUACUUAUUUGCUACAGGUUCAGAGCUAUGACUAGCUCUGAACCAAGCCUGUCCCCCAGCCUAUUAUGAGCUUAGUGCUUCCUGGUCUGCAGAGUUCAAAGCAUGAACUAUAACCAGAACGCAAACUUCAAAAUCCGUUAAAUGAAGGGGGGUGGCUACUUUGAAUCCCUCUUCGCCCACGUUGGCCGGUACUUCUCAUGAGCCGGCUAAGGGCUGGGGGGCAAAAAGAUGGGGAAACCUACAGCUGGGGUUACCAUUUGCAACCGUGACUUCGGUAUACACUAACCCCAACAUGGCAAUGGCUGCAGCGUGGGGCCAUGGUCUCUGUUUCUGCUGUCUGGACUUUGGUCUUUCCUCUUCCUGGCCGGUCAGAUGUUCUUUGAUUUCAGUCUGCAACUGCUGGAAACUCAUGCCUUUCCUUCUCCCCCAGCAGUUCAGGACCUGCCUCAGAAAGUUCUGCUUUCUGCCCUAAGCGUCCCUCACUUCAGCCCUAUCAAUAUUCUAAAGGCAAGCUUUUCAAUGUGUUGUUCACAUUCCUCCCCCUGGAGACAUUCAGGCAUUGCUAGCAUUUCAUGCGCAUGGCUCCUAGUCUUUCUCUUUGUCUGUUUAGUGCCUCUGCCUUACAUCUCAGGCAUCUUCCAUUGCGUGCCACUCUUCCUGGCCAAAUCAGUCCUCUCUUGCGAUGCUCCCGUUGUCUGUCCUGUGUGGAAGCGCUUGGAUUCCAAAUAAAGCGUGUACCUUGAAUGUUCCUGCAUCGAGUAAGCGGAUUCAUCACUCAUGCUGCAUGCAAAGAGUUUGUUAUCUCUAGAGGCAAAAUUUGGACGGUUCGAAUGGGGUAAGUGAUGUUGUUAGUGCUGAAUAGUCUAUGCUGUUGAUCACGAAUAAGACCAGAAGUAGACAUGUCCCCUCAAGAAGCUUACAGCUAUCACCAACUGCAGGGACUGACAACCAAAGUGCUUACUGAGAAGUAAGUCCAGUUGAUCUAAGUGGGGCUUCUUGGCUUGUAAGCAUGGCUUGGAUUGCAUCCUGAACCUUAUGUCCAAGACAGAUUUCCUUGUUCUCUGUUUUCUCUUCUGCUCAGAUGGGACACCUCUUUCCUGAGAGUCACCUAUGCCGCAUCUUGUUCUUUGGAAAUACGGUGUUAUGGGAUCCUGCCUGACUUAAACAUGUUGUCUUCCAGAAAGGGUUCCUCCUCCAGAUGGCACUGUAAUCCCAAGAUUGCUUCGCAUGAAGAACAGAAAUGCUGUUAAGAGAAGAAUAUUUCAGGAGCGGAUGGUCCGGAGGAAAAGAAGUAUAGAGCCCGAGCAAGGAAAAGGGCAAGCAUAAAAGCACAACGUGGAAAGUUGCAAGUCCUCUACAGGCUGGUCAGUAUCAGAGGAGGAAAAAGCAGAAGAAAUUCCAGAGGGAGGAAUUAAGGCAGAACAGCGUUUGUACGAAGAAAACUUUGUUAUAGAAUAGUUAUACAAUAGAGAAUGGUAUAGAGGAAAUACUGUAAUAGUAAUUGAAUAGUCAUGGAAUAUAGUUACUGUUAUACUAAUUAGCAUA